rnacentral:rRNA from 1 species
UAAUACGGAGGGUGCAAGCGUUAUCCGGAUUCACUGGGUUUAAAGGGUGCGUAGGUGGGCAGGUAAGUCAGUGGUGAAAUCUCCGGGCUUAACCCGGAAACUGCCGUUGAUACUAUCUGUCUUGAAUAUCGCGUAGGUAAGCGGAAUAUGUCAUGUAGCGGUGAAAUGCUUAGAUAUGACAUAGAACACCAAUUGCGAAGGCAGCUCACUUCACGAUCAUUGACACUGAGGCACGAAAGCGUGGGGAGCAAACAGGA